GAUGAAGAACGUAGCGAAAUGCGAUACCUGGUGUGAAUUGCAGAAUCCCGUGAACCAUCGAGUCUUUGAACGCAAGUUGCGCCCGAAGCCACUAGGCCGAGGGCACGCCUGCCUGGGCGUCACACGCCGUUGCCCCCCCAUCUACUCCUUCGGGAUUGCGGGGGGGCGGAUGAUGGCCUCCCGUGCGCCUAGCCGCGCGGUUGGCAUAAAUACCAAGUCCUCGGCGACGCACGCCACGACAAUCGGUGGUUGCGAAACCUCGGUUGCCCGUCGUGUGCGUUCGUCGCGCAUCGAGGGCUCGAAAAAAUGCUCGGCUCCGGCUGGGCUUUCAACGCGACCCCAGGUCAGGCGGGGUUACCCGCUGAAUUUAAGCAUAUCAAUAAGCGGAGGA
rnacentral:misc_RNA from 1 species